CCACAAUACGUGUGUCUACUAUUCGAACACACCUUUACCUAUAAGUACAUGUACACCGACAGAGGAAUACUAUAAUACUGUUCACGGAACUUGAUCAACUGCGUAUCAACUCUCAAUUGCAAUGAUAAUGAGGUCUGUUUUAACAUGUAUCUUGGUUGUUUUAAUGUGUCGUACGAGUACAGGCUGUAUACGUGCCGCAACUACAACGACAUUACCUUUAUAUGCCCAACCAGUGCCGGUAGGAAGUAUUGUCAAAUACAGCACUAAGCUUAUUAAUGGUAACGUAACGUAGCCUCUGAAUAUGAUCCCGUUACGAGUAAAUUUACUGCUUCGUUCACUGGUAUUUAUAAAGUGACUGUAACGAUGAUGUCAGGGCUUGUAACCGGUCACACUACUCUAAGGAAGAAUGGAGAGAUUGUGGUGUGGCUAUUCACUAACAAAGAAUUUGAUAUGGCAACCCAAUCUAUCAAUUUAAAACUGCAACGUAACGACACGAUAUGGGUACAAAUGAACAGUGGGUCAAGUCUUUACAGUGUUUAUAAUACUUUCAGCACAAUUUUAAUAACAGUUUUAGGCACCUAAAAAUGUAACGUAUGGGCAAUUUUCAAAUUUAAAUUUGGUAACAUUUUAAAGAUGGCAUUUUUCUUAUCUGCCUAUGAACAUGAGAGUAAUAUGAAGCACACAUAUAUGUUAAAAAAUAUU